CAUUCCACAGUAACAUUUAAAUAAUAAAAAAUCAUGGGUAACUAAUAUUCCCUCUAACUUAUUUGCAGAAUUUCCGUGAAUAGCAACAAUGUUCAGUCUUUGUUGGAUGCAGCAAACCAAUAUCAGAUUGAACCUGUGAAGAAAAUGUGUGUUGAUUUUUUGAAAGAACAAGUUGAUGCUUCAAAUUGUCUUGGAGAAGCAGAAAAAGUUGAUCAGAGCCUUCCAGAGUGUGGUAUGCUUUUCACUGUGUGAUGAUCCUUAGUGGCACAUGAAUGAACGUCCAGAUGUUUGUGCAGUAGCCCACCCUUAUCUGCAGGAUACGUUCCAAGACCCCCAGUGAAUGCCUGAAACUGCAGAUAGUACUGAAUCCUAUAUAUACUGUGUUUUUUAUGAUACAUACAUGCCUAUGAUGAAGUUUAAUUUCUAAAUUAGACAGUAAAAGAUUAACAACAACAGUAAUAAAAUAGAACAACUUUAACAAU
rnacentral:sRNA from 1 species